rnacentral:rRNA from 1 species
UACAGGGGGCGCAAGCGUUGCUCGGAAUCAUUGGGCGUAAAGCGCACGUAGGCGGUCUGUUAUGUCGGAUGUGAAAGCCCUCGGCUCAACUGAGGAAGUGCAUCCGAAACUGGCAGGCUAGAGUACUAAAGAGGGUCGCGGAAUUCCCGGUGUAGAGGUGAAAUUCGUAGAUAUCGGGAGGAACACCGGUGGCGAAGGCGGCGACCUGGGUAGAUACUGACGCUGAGGUGCGAAAGCGUGGGGAGCAAACAGG